rnacentral:misc_RNA from 1 species
GAACGCAUAUUGCACCUAUUGGUAUUCCGAUGGGUAUGCCUGUUUGAGUGUCAUAAAGACCUUCACCCCACACUUAAUUAUUUGGGUUGUGGAAGUGGACUUGAGCCUGCGUCGGCUGGCUCGAAAAGCAUGGUGGUGAACGACCCGCCAGGUUUAACGUCAUAUCUAUUUUCGCUGGACAAGGCAGAGCUCGUAGCCCUGAUAAUAAUUUUAAAUCUUGACCUCAAAUCAGGUAGGAUUACCCGCUGAACUUAAG